rnacentral:rRNA from 1 species
GAUGAACGCUAGCGGGAGGCUUAACACAUGCAAGUCGAGCGGGAUUAGCAGCAAUGCUAUGAGAGCGGCGCACGGGUGCGUAACGCGUAUGCAACCUGCCUUAUACAGGGGAAUAGCCCAUGGAAACGUGGAUUAAUGUCCCAUAGGAUUACGGAUUCGCAUGGAUUUGUGAUUAAAACUGAGGUGGUAUAAGAUGGGCAUGCGUCUGAUUAGGUAGUUGGUAGGGUAAUGGCCUACCAAGCCGACGAUCAGUAGGGGUUCUGAGAGGAUUACCCCCCANACUGGUACUGAGACACGGACCAGACUCCUACGGGAGGCAGCAGUGAGGAAUAUUGGUCAAUGGCCGGAAGGCUGAACCAGCCAUCCCGCGUGCAGGAUGACGGCCCUAUGGGUUGUAAACUGCUUUUGACCUGAAGAAACCUGUUUACGAGUAGACAGUUGCCAGUAAGGUAUGAAUAAGCAUCGGCUAACUCCGUGCCAGCA